rnacentral:sRNA from 1 species
CAUUGCAGCCUCUACCUCCCCGGCCCAGGGCAGAAGAUAAGAUUAUUGGACUGACUACUAGUCCUCCACGGGACAACAAGACGACUCUUCCUCAUUGAAGCUACCUGUGCACCGGAGAAGCCCAUAAGGCACAAAGGGAGGACUUUCCCACAAGAAAAGAGGGGAUCUGAUGAUAAAAAAAGUAGUGUGAAGUCCGGUAGUCGA